rnacentral:rRNA from 1 species
ACUAUGCUAGGCUCUCUCCCAACCCCUGUGACAUACCAAUUGUUGCCUCGGCGGAUCAGCCCGCUCCCGGUAAAACGGGACGGCCCGCCAGAGGACCCCUAAACUCUGUUUCUAUAUGUAACUUCUGAGUAAAACCAUAAAUAAAUCAAAACUUUCAACAACGGAUCUCUUGGUUCUGGCAUCGAUGAAGAACGCAGCAAAAUGCGAUAAGUAAUGUGAAUUGCAGAAUUCAGUGAAUCAUCGAAUCUUUGAACGCACAUUGCGCCCGCCAGUAUUCUGGCGGGCAUGCCUGUUCGAGCGUCAUUUCAACCCUCAAGCCCAGCUUGGUGUUGGGACUCGCGAGUCAAAUCGCGUUCCCCAAAUUGAUUGGCGGUCACGUCGAGCUUCCAUAGCGUAGUAGUAAAACCCUCGUUACUGGUAAUCGUCGCGGCCACGCCGUUAAACCCCAACUUCUGAAUGUUGACCUCGGAUCAGGUAGGAAUACCCGCUGAACUUAAGCAUAUCAAUAAAGCGGAGGAAGGA